CCUACGGGGAGCAGCAGUGGGGAAUAUUGGACAAUGGGCGAAAGCCUGAUCCAGCCAUGCCGCGUGUGUGAAGAAGGCCUUCGGGUUGUAAAGCACUUUCAGUGGGGAAGAAAGCCUUGGGGCUAAUACCCUCGAGGAAGGACAUCACCCACAGAAGAAGCACCGGCUAACUCCGUGCCAGCAGCCGCGGUAAUACGGAGGGUGCGAGCGUUAAUCGGAAUUACUGGGCGUAAAGCGCGCGUAGGCGGUCUGAUAAGCCGGUUGUGAAAGCCCCGGGCUCAACCUGGGAACGGCAUCCGGAACUGUCAGGCUAGAGUGCAGGAGAGGAAGGUAGAAUUCCCGGUGUAGCGGUGAAAUGCGUAGAGAUCGGGAGGAAUACCAGUGGCGAAGGCGGCCUUCUGGACUGACACUGACGCUGAGGUGCGAAAGCGUGGGUAGCAAACAGGAUUAGAUACCCUAGUAGUC
rnacentral:rRNA from 1 species